rnacentral:rRNA from 1 species
UACGUAGGGUGCGAGCGUUGUCCGGAAUUAUUGGGCGUAAAGAGCUCGUAGGCGGUGUGUCGCGUCGGCCGUGAAAACCUGUAGCUUAACUGUGGGCUUGCGGUCGAUACGGGCAUCACUGGAGUUCGGCAGGGGAGACUGGAAUUCCUGGUGUAGCGGUGAAAUGCGCAGAUAUCAGGAGGAACACCGGUGGCGAAGGCGGGUCUCUGGGCCGAUACUGACGCUGAGGAGCGAAAGCGUGGGGAGCGAACAGG